CCUCUAAAAUAUUGAAGGUGAAACCUGCCCAAUGAUAUAAAGAUAAUUAUAACCUAAUUUUAAUAAUAUUAAAUGGAUGCAAUAACUCUGACUGUAAUAAAGUAGCAUAAUUAGUUGUCAUUUAAUUGAUGGAGAGAAUGAAUGGUUACACAAUUUUUCACUGUCUUAAGAAAAAGUUUUUAAAAUUGAAAUAAUAGUUAAGAUGCUAUUUAAAAUUGGAAGGCGAAGAGACCCUAUAGAGCUUUACUAUAAACUUUUUUUUGAAAGAUAAUAAAAAAUUAUUAAAAUUAGAAAGUUUGGGUGACUGUUUUUAAAAAAUAAGCAAUACACUAAAUUUGUUGUAUAAUUAAACAAUUUAACAAUUACUAUAGUAGGCUAUAAUGACCCGUUAUCAUAAUAAAAAAUAGAUAAUGAUUAAUUAAUAAAAGCUACCUUAGGGAUAACAGGAUAAUUCUAUUUUAAAGUCCUCAUCAAAAACAAAGUUUGUCACCUCUAUGUCGAAUUAAGAUGUCCUAAUAAUGCAGUAGUUAUUGAGGGUAGGUCUGUUUGACCUUUAAAAU
rnacentral:rRNA from 1 species